UUAGCGGCCAUGGCGGCAGGGUUAACUCCUGUACCCAUCCCGAACACAGAAGAUAAGCCUGCCAGCGUUGUAUACGGUACUAAAGUGCGAGAGCCUUUGGGAACUAUACUCCGCUGCUGAUC
rnacentral:rRNA from 16 species